GGUGCCUGUGAUGAUUGUAUUCCCAGCGUUUUGACAACUUUGUGAAAAAGUAUCAUACAUGCACUACCAUCUGAGGCAAA
rnacentral:snoRNA from 1 species